rnacentral:piRNA from 1 species
UUGAACCAGAGUGAGUCAUGUCAGGAAGC